UACGGGGGGGAGCAAGCGUUGUUCGGAUUUACUGGGCGUAAAGGGCGCGCAGGCGGUCGUUCAAGUCGCGUGUGAAAGCCCCCCGGCUCAACUGGGGAGGGUCACGCGAUACUGAUCGACUCGAAGGCAGGAGAGGGAAGUGGAAUUCCUGGUGUAGCGGUGAAAUGCGUAGAGAUCGGGAGGAACACCAGCGGCGAAGGCGGCCCCCUGGGCCGCUCCUGACGCUGAUACGCGAAGGCCAGGGUAGCGAACGGG
rnacentral:rRNA from 1 species